rnacentral:lncRNA from 1 species
AUGCUCCUCUGGAAUUCUGCAGCCAGGACUGAAACUCCAUCCACCAUGGGGUGGUGUAGUGAGACCUCGCUGGGAGGGAGCCCCUCGGCAGGAACACCAUCAGGAAACCUUUGGAAUCCCUAUUUUCCCAAGAUUUCCUCCUUGAAAUCCCUCCUGCAAUGCCUCGUUUGUCUCCUGCACGCCCAGGAAAGGGAGAAGCCGGGUGGAGCCUGGAGAAAUCGGGGCUGGAUCUGGCUGCGGGUCAGGGUGGGGAAUGUGCAGGGAGUUGUGGAAGAGGGGAGGCCAGAGGAAGAGAAAGGAACCAUCCGACCACGUGGUGGCAACGUGGAGAUGCUACAGAAGGAUUGCUGUGCUUCCCUGAAGGAAUUUUCACUUCACAGGAGACACCUGAAGUUAAUUCGUGGCUUUAAAGAGGACGUUAAAAGCAGGAAAUGUAAAUAUUUUCGGCUGUGUCACCUGAGCCUGUGGAUGCCCUCAGUGGCGUGGAGCAAACAAAUGGAAAAAGCAGGAUUGAUGGAUUGGCCCAUUCUGGAGGUGCUGCCGUCCCCAAGUGUCACAGGUGAGCUCUGUGCCUGUAUCCAGCAUCCACAGAGCUGCAUCCCCGUGGUCCUUGGAUGCAGGAGGAGGUGGGAGAAGCCCACAGGCUCUGAGAGCACCAGAUGAGGCAGAACCAUCCUGGGGUCAGGUGAGGGGACCUUUGGUUCAUCCUGGGAUGGGGAGCCCUGAGAGCCCAGCCAGGAGGAUGUGUUUGUG